UAGAGUUUGAUCCUGGCUCAGAUUGAACGCUGGCGGCAGGCCUAACACAUGCAAGUCGAGCGGUAACAGAAAGUAGCUUGCUACUUUGCUGACGAGCGGCGGACGGGUGAGUAAUGCUUGGGAACAUGCCUUGAGGUGGGGGACAACAGUUGGAAACGACUGCUAAUACCGCAUAAUGUCUACGGACCAAAGGGGGCUUCGGCUCUCGCCUUUAGAUUGGCCCAAGUGGGAUUAGCUAGUUGGUGAGGUAAUGGCUCACCAAGGCGACGAUCCCUAGCUGGUUUGAGAGGAUGAUCAGCCACACUGGGACUGAGACACGGCCCAGACUCCUACGGGAGGCAGCAGUGGGGAAUAUUGCACAAUGGGCGCAAGCCUGAUGCAGCCAUGCCGCGUGUGUGAAGAAGGCCUUCGGGUUGUAAAGCACUUUCAGUCAGGAGGAAAGGUUAGUAGUUAAUACCUGCUAGCUGUGACGUUACUGACAGAAGAAG
rnacentral:rRNA from 1 species